AAAAAAAUCUGUAAAAUAACAGUUAAAUGACUGUAUAUUUUAACAGAUUUUUUCCGUAUACACGUAUUACGGGUGUUUUUCCGUUUAUAUACAUUUUCGAAUUGCAUUGUGGGAAGGGGAUCGCAGCUCAGACAGCGUUUGAUGGACACCGGGACAUAUUUCUUCCUCUGUUUUUUCCCUGUUGUUUGUCCGUAUUUUUCUAAACUGCCGUGCGCGGGAAGUGGCGUGACGUCAAAUCACCCACUCACUCCCUCUGCACCUGACUGGAUUAACGGUAAACGUCAGUUUGUCUGUAAGAGUGUAAAAGGUUCUUUCAUUUUGGUUAUAAGUACAUGUUACAGGUAAAUUCUUAGAUUCAAUCCAAACUGAAUUUGAAUUAAUACGGACAAAUGAAAUAAAAUACACCUGGGAUUUUAAAUGUUUUCAUUUUUUUAUUAUUC